GACGUAGGGCGCGAGCGUUGUCCGGAUUUAUUGGGCGUAAAGAGCUCGUAGGCGGCUUGUCGCGUCGACUGUGAAAUCCCGCGGCUCAACUGCGGGUCUGCAGUCGAUACGGGCAGGCUAGAGUUCGGUAGGGGAGACUGGAAUUCCUGGUGUAGCGGUGAAAAUGCGCAGAUAUCAGGAGGAACACCGAUGGCGAAGGCAGGUCUCUGGGCCGAUACUGACGCUGAGGAGCGAAAGCGUGGGGAGCGAACAG
rnacentral:rRNA from 1 species